rnacentral:rRNA from 1 species
GACGAACGCUGGCGGCGUGCUUAACACAUGCAAGUGGAGCGACGAACCAGGGCUUCGGCCCUGGGGCAAAGCCGCGAACGGGUGAGUAACACGUGGGUAACCUGCCCCGAUGACCGGGACAACCCGAGGAAACUCGGGCUAAUACCGGAUGUGGUCACACCACACAAGUGAUGUGACUAAAGGUAGCUUCGGCCUCCGCAUCGGGAUGGGCCCGCGGCCCAUUAGCUUGUUGGUGAGGUAACGGCUCACCAAGGCCACGAUGGGUAGCUGGUCUGAGAGGACGAUCAGCCAAACUGGGACUGGGACACGGCCCAGACUCCUACGGGAGGCAGCAGUGGGGAAUCUUGCGCAAUGCGCGAAAGCGUGACGCAGCAACGCCGCGUGGGGGAAGAAGGCCUUCGGGUUGUAAACCCCUUUCAGGAGGGACGAAGCCGGGUCGGUGAAUAGCCGGUCCCGGUGACGGUACCUCCACAAGAAGCCCCGGCUAACUACGUGCCAGCCGCCGCCGUAAUAC